GGCUCAAUGGUCUAGUGGUAUGAUUCUCGCUUUGGGUCUAGUUCUGAUUUGCGAGAGGCCCCGGGUUCGAAUCCCGGUUGAGCCC